GAUGAACGCUGGCGGCGUGCCUAAUACAUGCCAGUCGAGCGAACGGACGAGAAGCUUGCUUCUCUGAUGUUAGCGGCGGACGGGUGAGUAACACGUGGAUAACCUACCUAUAAGACUUGGAUAACUUCGGGAAACCUGAGCUAAUACCGGAUGAUAUUUUGAACCGCAUGGUUCAAAAGUGAAAGACGGUCUUGCUGUCACUUAUAGAUGGAUCCGCUCUGCAUUAGCUAGUUGGUAAGGUAACGGCUUACCAAGGCAACGAUGCAUAGCCGACCUGAGAGGGUGAUCGGCCACACUGGAACUGAGACACGGUCCAGACUCCUACGGGAGGCAGCAGUAGGGAAUCUUCCGCAAUGGGCGAAAGCCUGACGGAGCAACGCCGCGUGAGUGAUGAAGGUCUUCGGAUCGUAAAACUCUGUUAUUAGGGAAGAACAUAUGUGUAAGUAACUGUGCACAUCUUGACGGUACCUAAUCAGAAAGCCACGGCUAACUACGUG
rnacentral:rRNA from 1 species